AUAAAUAUUUGCAGGUUAAUUAAUUGCUUUGGAUUUUAGUAAAAUGUGAUCUUUAAUUCAAGCAACGGUUAAUCAAGCAGAGUGUUUCACGUUUUCUACGUAUUCUCAAGGUAACUAGCAGAGCUACGGUUUAUGUGUUUUGUUGAUAUAAGACUGUAAUUCUCAAGUUCUGUGAUGAUUGAUUCAUUUUCCUGUAUUCUACUCAUGAAUAUAGGAACUUUUAAUGUUUUACAGUGUUGAUUGCUACAUCUUCUAGUAUUCUUAACCUGGUGAAGAAGAGAGGAAACAAAGUGUUGAGAUGAUCUUUGGUUGCUUAAUAUCUUGCUGCAUUUUAUUAAAUCUGCUGUGUAUUCGUGAGUUUAUUCGUGUAUAUAAUUGGGAGAAGAAAUUGUGACUAGUUUUAAGUAUUGGCUGCUUGUUUAAUUCGAACAUUGAACCGUUUGUUUAAUUGAAGAUCAAUUAAAUUAAUCAAUUAUAUAAUAGUAAAUAUUGUU
rnacentral:lncRNA from 1 species